UCGCCAGUCAAGCGCGGCUUGCGUGUUGGGCCGCCAUCCAGCCCCCUCCGCCGGAGGGGUGGGGGAUGGGCCCGAAAGACAGCGGCGGCACCGUCUGGUCCUCGAGCGUCUGGGGCUCUGUCACCCGCUCUGAAGGCCCAGCCGGCGCCGGCCCACCCCAACCUCCUUCGAAAA
rnacentral:misc_RNA from 1 species